rnacentral:rRNA from 1 species
GACGAACGCUGGCGGCGUGCUUAACACAUGCAAGUCGAACGGAAAGGCCCUGCUUUUGUGGGGUGCUCGAGUGGCGAACGGGUGAGUAACACGUGAGUAACCUGCCCUUGACUUUGGGAUAACUUCAGGAAACUGGGGCUAAUACCGGAUAGGAGCUCCUGCUGCAUGGUGGGGGUUGGAAAGUUUCGGCGGUUGGGGAUGGACUCGCGGCUUAUCAGCUUGUUGGUGGGGUAGUGGCUUACCAAGGCUUUGACGGGUAGCCGGCCUGAGAGGGUGACCGGACACAUUGGGACUGAGAUACGGCCCAGACUCAUAGGGGAGGGAGGCGUGGGGAAUAUUGCAAAAUGGGGGAAAGCCGAAUGCAGCAACGCCGGGGGGGGGAAGACGGCCUUCGGGUUGUAAACCGUUUUCGCCUGAGACGAAGGGUGGGUGGGGGUAAUGGGAAAAGGAGCAGCGGCUAAAUAAGU